GGGGACGAUCUGGUUUCGACUGCAAUUGUGGUCUUAUAGUUGCAUGCCGAGUGUUCUGGCACCUCGUUAAUCGUGACAGAAAACAUUUAAACGCAAACAAUAAUUUUGCACUAGCAGCUUAAUACCUGCUUUGUCGAUGAGCAUUUCGCUCCUCAGGGAGGCUCAAAGGCAUAAAACUACUGAGGAUAGCCCGAUAUAGUGCUCCCGGAUUGAAGGCAAAAUUAAGGGGGACAGGAUUGCAAUACGGAGCCUUUUCCCGGCUUGUAGUCUUAAAUUAAAUGAAAAGGAUAAGCAUGUAGACGCUAUAGGGGUAUGUUGUAGGACGCGGGUUCGAGUCCCGCCGUCUCCAA
rnacentral:tmRNA from 1 species